CACAGGGGAGCUGUAAAAACAGCUGAGAAAAAGGUGUGUACCUUUGACCCUUAACCUGAUUCGGGUAAUGCCGACGUAGGGAGCUUGUAGUA
rnacentral:ncRNA from 1 species